rnacentral:rRNA from 1 species
AGGUUGUUUAGAGACAGUCAGCUAUUUGAUGAGGUUAGAUAUAUUACCUUUUGCAUCAUGAUCUGUUGAAGGUUGUUUCUGAUUUGUGAUUAUCCGAAAGAUGUCGAUAUCUGUUCUUAUAGCUUUGAGAUUAUUCCUAAGGCGGGUAGCCUAGGUGAAAUAAGGAUAGUGUUUUGAUAAAUAAUUCGGGAUAUCUUAUAUCUGGUUGGGGACUGUCUUGUUAUAUUAUUUAACUGGCUAUGGUGUUAGUUAAAGGAUUAUAGAUUUUUUUGUAUUGGAUGAUCCCCGGGGUUAAAGUUACCCCCGGGGUUUGGGUGUGUUAAUACUCUCUUUUCAUUUUUUGUUUCUUAAUUUUAGAGGUCCCCCCUAUUAAUAUUUGUUUUUGUAGUAUGAUAGAAUAAGUAGGUUUUUAAUGCUUUCAUUUUUUCUCGAUUACCUUCGGUCUGUUUAUUAAAAACAUUUCUAUCUUUUUUAUUAGAUAGUAGUGCCUGCCCAAUGCUUUUGUUAAUGGCCGCAGUAUCUUGACUGUGCUAAGGUAGCAUAAUUAGUUGCCUCAUAAUUAGGGGAUUGUUUGAAUGGUUUGACCAGAGGGUUUAAUUAGAUUGGAAGUCUUUCUGAAAUUGGUUUGUUGGUGCAGAACCCAACAGGCGUUAGUUAGACGGAAAGACCCCGAGAUCUUUAUGUUGUGGUAUUUACUUGGGGCAAGGCUAUAUUUUUUAUGUAGUUGUUGAUCCUUUUGGAUUAUAGGCUUAAGUUACCUCGGGGAUAACUAGGUAAAAGACAAGGAGAGACCUAAUCGAUUUGUUUGAUUGCCAUCUCGAUGUUGACUUGGGAAAUAUAUUAGGGUGCAGAAGUUUUAGUAUUUGGUCUGUUCGACCACUAUUCCCUCAUGAGUUGAGUUAAGACCGGCGUGAGCCAGGUCGGUUCUUAUCUACUGUUGCUGUAAAUUAGUACGAAAGGAUUGUUUACAUUUUAAG